rnacentral:rRNA from 1 species
UACGGGGGGGGCAAGCGUUGUUCGGAAUUACUGGGCGUAAAGGGCUCGUAGGCGGCCAACUAAGUCAGACGUGAAAUCCCUCGGCUUAACCGGGGAACUGCGUCUGAUACUGGAUGGCUUGAGAUUGGGAGAGGGAUGCGGAAUUCCAGGUGUAGCGGUGAAAUGCGUAGAUAUCUGGAGGAACACCGGUGGCGAAGGCGGCGCUCUGGACCGAGACUGACGCUGAGGCGCGAAAGCGUGGGGAGCAAACAGG